rnacentral:rRNA from 1 species
GUGCCAGCGCCGCGGUAAUACCGGCAGCCCAAGUGAUGUCCCAUAUUAUUGGGCCUAAAGCGUCCGUAGCUGGCCGACCAAGUCUCCCGGGAAAUCCACCCGCCCAACGGGUGGGCGUCCGGUAGAAACUGGCCGGCUUGGAACCGGGAGGCCUGAGGGGUACGAUCGGGGUAGGAGUGAAAUCCUGUAAUCCCGCUCGGACCGCCGAUGGGGAAACCACCUCAGGAGAACGGAUCCGACAGUGAGGGACAAAAGCCAGGGUCUCGAACCGGAUUAGAUACCCUUGUAGUCC